rnacentral:rRNA from 1 species
AUGUAUCUUGCUUCCCCUGGCAUCGGGCAUGGGCUAGCGCAAGUUUCCCAGACGGUGGCGCAGCAUUUCCUCGACCCCGACCAUAGCAUCGUUGCUAUCGCCUCGGGUGACUCGGGUCUAAUGACGAGGGAGGAACUUCCAGCACCUGGAUACAUGCUCAUCACGCCCGGGGGGGACGCCGCUCCAAUGGGCGACGGCGUGCCCCUGUCGCCUACGGUGGCUGCGGCAACGCCGAACACCUGGGGUCAUUUUGCAAAGCUUGGGGCCGAGCAUGCGUUCUUCGUGCAGGACCCGGCCGCCGACUUCGACAUCAUGCCGAAAGGGGUUUGCAUGAACGACGACUCGCCGGUUCAUUACCACGUGAACGUGUUCGCUGAGGGUGUUUGGCAGAACAUGGUUUCAGGACCCAUGCACGCGGGCGAUAACGUGUGCUUCCUCCGGCGCCCGUAUGCGGUGGUCAUCGACGGCGUCAUGUACAUGAUGUACGAAGUCGGCAGGGUGGUGGCUUGCAACGUCAGCGCCAACACAUUCGACACAGUUCAGCUGCCGGAAGAUUUCGCCUUCAACAUCGAAGCGGGAGGUACGGACUACAGAGUCACUAAAACCUCCUCCGGGAAGCUUUGCAUUGCUCAAGUCCAGGGCAUGCGAGCGCGGGUGUGGGACCGUGACCCGACGGGGGUGUGGGUGGAGAGGAUCAACAUGUCAAUUUCCAGCGUUUUUGAUGUCCCCGCUACGGAUACUAUGUGGAUCAGAGUUGCUGAAAACGAAGGGCUGGACAUUCCAAUAUGGGACACUGAGUUUUACUUGAUUAGGAUUGUGUCAGUCGACGAGGGUGCUCGCCAUCUCGUCAUGAGUUUUGGUUUUGACACCCGCGUGUACUGCAUUGAUACGGAGCUGGAGAGAGCGUUUGAUCUCUUCGACUCAGCACAACACGCUUUCAUGAGCAAUGUGGUCCCGGUGACGGUCACGUGUCCGCCACGCUUCCCCGACCACAUUUAG